GAUCAUGGCUCAGAUUGAACGCUGGCGGCAGGCCUAACACAUGCAAGUCGAACGGGUAACAGGAAGAAGGCUUGCUUCUUUGCUGACGAGUGGCGGACGGGUGAGUAAUGUCUGGGAAACUGCCUGAUGGAGGGGGAUAACUACUGGAAACGGUAGCUAAUACCGCAUAACGUCGCAAGACCAAAGAGGGGGACCUUCGGGCCUCUUGCCAUCGGAUGUGCCCAGAUGGGAUUAGCUAGUAGGUGGGGUAACGGCUCACCUAGGCGACGAUCCCUAGCUGGUCUGAGAGGAUGACCAGCCACACUGGAACUGAGACACGGUCCAGACUCCUACGGGAGGCAGCAGUGGGGAAUAUUGCACAAUGGGCGCAAGCCUGAUGCAGCCAUGCCGCGUGUAUGAAGAAGGCCUUCGGGUUGUAAAGUACUUUCAGCGGGGAGGAAGGGAGUAAAGUUAAUACCUUUGCUCGUUGACGUUACCCGCAGAAGAAGCACCGGCUAACUCCGUG
rnacentral:rRNA from 1 species